rnacentral:rRNA from 1 species
CAGGCAAAUCCGGAAAAUCAAGGCUGAGGCGUGAUGACGAGGCACUACGGUGCUGAAGCAACAAAUGCCCUGCUUCCAGGAAAAGCCUCUAAGCAUCAGGUAACAUCAAAUCGUACCCCAAACCGACACAGGUGGUCAGGUAGAGAAUACCAAGGCGCUUGAGAGAACUCGGGUGAAGGAACUAGGCAAAAUGGUGCCGUAACUUCGGGAGAAGGCACGCUGAUAUGUAGGUGAAGUCCCUCGCGGAUGGAGCUGAAAUCAGUCGAAGAUACCAGCUGGCUGCAACUGUUUAUUAAAAACACAGCACUGUGCAAACACGAAAGUGGACGUAUACGGUGUGACGCCUGCCCGGUGC